rnacentral:rRNA from 1 species
GGCACCUCGAUGUCGGCUCAUCUCAUCCUGGGGCUGGAGCAGGUCCCAAGGGUAUGGCUGUUCGCCAUUUAAAGAGGUACGUGAGCUGGGUUCAAAACGUCGUGAGACAGUUUGGUCCCUAUCUGCCGUGGGUGUAGGAUACUUGAGAGGAGCUGUCCUUAGUACGAGAGGACCGGGAUGGACACACCUCUGGUGUACCAGUUGUUCCGCCAGGAGCAGUGCUGGGUAGCUAUGUGUGGACGGGAUAAACGCUGAAAGCAUCUAAGCGUGAAGCCUCCCUCAAAACUAGGUAUCCCUAUCAGAACCGUGGAAGACCACCACGUUGAUAGGCUGGAUGUGAAAGCGCAGUAAUGUGUGAAGCUAACCAGUACUAAUUGUUCGAUCGGCUUGAAUUU